CCUUAUGGCUCUAAUCUGAUAGUGGUAGAUGUCUAGUCUCCCUUAUGGCUCUAAUCUGAUAGUGGUAGAUGUCUAGCCUCCCUUAUGGCUCUAAUCUGAUAGUGGUAGAUGUCUAGUCUCCCUUAUGGCUCUAAUCUGAUAGUGGUAGGUGUCUAGUCUCCCUUAUGUCUCUAAUCUGGCAGUGGCAGAUGUCUCAUCUCCUUUAUGGCUCUAAUCUGAUAGUGGUAGUGGGGUGGAAGAUGUCUAGUCUCCCUUAUGGCUCCAAUCUGAUAGUGGUAGAUGUCUUGUCUCCCUUAUGGCUAUAAUCUGAUAGUGGUAGUGGGGUGGUAGAUGUAUAGUCUCCUUUACGGCUCUAAUCUGAUAGUGGUAUUGGGGUGGUAGAUGUCUAGUC
ensembl:lncRNA